rnacentral:rRNA from 1 species
AGCGAACGCUGGCGGCAGGCCUAACACAUGCAAGUCGAACGGAUCCUUCGGGAUUAGUGGCGGACGGGUGAGUAACACGUGGGAACGUGCCCUUUGGUUCGGAACAACUCAGGGAAACUUGAGCUAAUACCGGAUGUGCCCUUCGGGGGAAAGAUUUAUCGCCAUUGGAGCGGCCCGCGUCUGAUUAGCUAGUUGGUGAGGUAACGGCCCACCAAGGCGACGAUCGGUAGCUGGUCUGAGAGGAUGAUCAGCCACACUGGGACUGAGACACGGCCCAGACUCCUACGGGAGGCAGCAGUGGGGAAUCUUGCGCAAUGGGCGAAAGCCUGACGCAGCCAUGCCGCGUGAAUGAUGAAGGUCUUAGGAUUGUAAAAUUCUUUCAGCGGGGACGAUAAUGACGGUACCCGCAGAAGAAGCUCCGGCUAACUUCGUG